UCAUGCUGAAUGCUGUCCCUGCUAAAUA
rnacentral:sRNA from 1 species